UCCGUUAUGGUCUAGGUAAGCUCAACCACUUCCUCUCUCAGCAACUCCAACUAACAGCAACAAGUGGCUAGGAUACAUCGCUCUCAUGGCAAGCGCCGAUGUGGCCGGGGUUCGAUUCCCCGUGACGGAA